rnacentral:tRNA from 1 species
GCCCAGGUAGCUCAAUCGGCAGAGCAGGGGUUUUGUAAACCUCAGGUUGGAGGUUCGAUUCCUCUCCUGGGCUCCA